GAGAUGAAGGUUAUAGACUAUAUGGGACUGGCAGAAAUGGCCGGCAGAAUCCGAGACCAGGGAAGAGAGACGGCGGAAGAAGAUUGGAAGAAAUUUAAGGACUAUCUUAAGAAACAUUGUAAAAUUAUUGAAUGUUAGAACGAUGUUGGUUUAGAAAUUAAGUGGUUUCUAGCUGUAAUGAUUAUGCAAUCAAGAAAAGAAAGGUUAAAAAUUAAAUAGAAAUUAGGGGAGGGAUUUGCUGAAUUAAAUAAUUAGAGAUUGGAAUACAGAAAGGGGAGGUAUGAGGAGGUCGGGAAAGUAAAUUAUAAGAAAAUAAGGGAUUAAAAUUAUACUUGUUGUUUGUGUUUUGUUUGUAUUUUUGUUUUUUGUUUUAUAUAAUUUUUUGUUGUUUUUUUAAUAUCAUAUUUAUUGCAAUUUUCAAAAAAAUACAGAAAAAAGAAAAAGAAAAAAAGAAAACAUUUACCAUUUAAACCUUAUUUUCAAUGAUAUCUUUUCAAGACUUCCCCACACCUCCCCUUCUUGUAUUCCAUCUCCACUUAUUUAGUUCAACAAGUUCUUAUUCAUUAUUCAAUUUUGUUCAUUUUGUAUAGCCACUUUCACCUUAUAAUCCACAGUCUUUGUACAUUAGAAUCUUUUUCUAAGGUCGAUCCCAAUUCCCUUCCACGAAUUCCUCUUUUUUGUACUCGUAGCAAAACAAAAUAAAAAAAGAAGAAAAAUUCAAAAUAUAAUUAUACACCCUUUGGAUUCCCAAACUCCAGCCCCCCUUUCCCGGUUUUGAUCCCCAAUGUCCAUCAGUCUAUCUGCUAUCAGCCUGGAGACCUCACAUCCGAGGCUUUUAAUUUUCUCACAGUUCCUCUUUGCCGGUUUUUUUGAUAGUCCUUUAUAUCAAACACCAAAUCUCGGAGAAGCUCUGUCUCGAAGAUGUCCAUUUUUCUCCCAUCUAGGCCUCUAUAUUUAAAAGUGGAGCUCAAAUCUUGUUUCUUAAUCCUUUUGAGUCUGAAUGUCCCAAAAGCUCCAACUUCCAUCUUGAUCAAAUUUGUAAUCCAUAGGUCUUCAGAUCUCCACAUCAGGAGAUCUCUCCGAUCUUCAUUAUCCAGUUCAAACCAAAUUUUCAUCAUCCAAUUCUUGUUUUCCUUUAUGUCCUUCCUAGCAGGCCUCUGGCCUUCCUUGAUCUUCUGUGGCGUUGUAACUCCUCCUUCAUUCCCUUCCAAAUCAUCAUGUAUCCCUUGUUCCCCUUUCUCAAAUUUCUCAGGUUUCUUUUCCUGCUCAGCUGCAAAAACUUUUGAUUCCGCUACAAGUUGAGUCAAGUCCCUUCCAGUUUCAGUAAAUUUGUUUACUGUUUCAUUCAGUGUAGUAGCCCUCGUAGUCAAAAUAUUGCUUUGUUCUUAAAGCUUUCCCAGGAGAUAAAAAGUCCUGUUCAGCUCUAUGAGUAUUUUUCCACUUACAGCCAUUCUUGUAAUAUCCCAAAACCCCCUCUAGAGGGAUUAUGGUUACUUAGUAUCCUUCCAGUUCCAACCCAAAAGUCAAAAUAACUUGUUCUUCCUUGUUUUCAACAAUUUAUAUCCAAAUUGUAACAAAUCUAACCAGCAAAGUCACAGAAACAAAGUUCUCUUUUUAUUCCCCAACUUUGACAGCUACUUUGACAGCUGUCAAAAUCUUCUGUAUCUCUUCACCAGGCUCUCUCGCGGAUCACUCCCGGUUCCCGGGGGGUUGCACUUUAACUCUCAAAAUCAACUCUUAUCCUCCAGCAAAGUUACUUGUACUUUCCAAUCGUGAAAUUAAUAACUUUUAUCCAAUAAAGAAAAGGAUGUUCUCU